rnacentral:rRNA from 1 species
UACGUAGGUGGCAAGCGUUGUCCGGAUUUACUGGGCGUAAAGGGCGUGCAGGCGGUCUGUUAAGUGCAGGGUGAAAGCUCCCGGCUCAACUGGGAGAGGUCCUUGCAUACUGGCGGACUUGAGGGGGGUAGAGGAAAGUGGAAUUCCCGGUGUAGUGGUGAUAUGCGUAGAUAUCGGGAGGAACACCAGUGGCGAAGGCGGUUGCCUGGAGCUUUGCUGACGCUGAGGCGCGAAAGCGUGGGGAGCGAUCCGG